UAUUAGAACCAAAUAAAGAAACAAAAGCAUAAUAAAAGCUUAAAAGUACAUUCAUGACAUAUAUAAAAGACAAGUCUAAUACAACAAACUGCCUCACUUAAAAUUAGGUAAGGAAGAGGCCAUAAAUAUACCUAAAACCCACCAAAUUAAGGCCCCCAAAUGAAACAUUUUGGUAAAACAUUUUUGGCUGCUGGUUAAAGCUAGAUAAUGAUGUUGAAACAUAUAAUAUUAAUGUUUAGUCUUCUUCUGGUGCUUCUUUUAGGAGAAGAGUUCUGCAGAGGGUGAUCUACUUUAGUGGAAGAGGAAGCCCUCACAGUAGUAUUGAUGAAUCUGUUCUAUCCUAUUUAUAUAAUGUUCUCCAACUUAAUCAGGAAACAUGGAAAUGGAUUAUUACUAUGAAUUUCUGUUUACUAGUUGAGUUGGAGGACAUUCUGCCCAUCCCUCUUCCUUUGGGACCACUAUGGAGGGAUUUGGGGUUCAGUCAUGUUGUGUGAUGCUAGUACCUGUCUUGUCUUGUUUCUGUAUUUUUCCUACCUCCUUCUGAGGCUGUUGUUGCCUUAGUUUGUUUUCAGUUCAGAGGUGGGAGGAAUUGUAGAGUAGGGCAGGAGGAGGCGGCAAAGUUUUGAAGACCUUGCCUGUCAUGUCUAAAGAGAGGUGUCAACAGUGAUGCUAUUCAUAAAAUGGCCUCUACUUCAACCAGUAAACAGAAAUUCAUGUCAAGAACCAAUUUCCAUUUUUACUUGGAAGCAAGUUCUCCAGUGUUCAGUGGGGCUUAUUCUAAAGGAAGCAUCCACCAAAUUGUAGCCUGAAUCUCUCUUUUGUGGGUACAGUACUGUAUAAUAAUAUAUAGUUUAAAGGGUAUAUUUAGAUAUAAAGGCCAGUCAUACCUAUCUAAUAGACAAAAUAAAAUCAGUUUCGGAAAUCCUCCAGUGAAUUUUAUGAUUCAACUGUUAUGGUUAACAAACUGCCCACUAGUUUCUCAAGCAUUAUAAAAUCCGGUUAUAAAACAGCAGUAGCUAUUUUGGAGCAAAGGUGUUGAGUCAUUCAAGAUAAUUAGUCAGCUAGGUGUUUACACUAGUUUCUACCAUUGGUCCCUCACCCCCCAGUCAUUAGCAUUCCUUUGUCAUAUACCCAAACCCAAUUCACAAGCAAAAACUGGGGACCUGUGCUGAGUUCACAUGUGAUAUUGAGAUAAUGUGGUUAGUUUGCCAUAUGCCUGGAUUGUAACUUAACCUACACAUACUGUAAAACUUCUGUGUUGGCAUGAAAACUGUGGUUUCAGAUACAGUAUAUGCUUGUUUUGUGAGACAUGAGUUGUUUCACAAAUGUCCUCAAAUGGCAUUAGUUCCUGUAGGCUCAUAUUCCCAACAUACAAAUCUGGUAAUGCAAACUGUAAUCUGUUAUUAGUUGGAUCCUUCAGCAAAACACAAUACAGUGGUACCUUGGGUUAAGUACUUAAUUCAUUCCGGAGGUCCGUACUUAACCUGAAACUGUUCUUAACCUGAAGCACCACUUUAGCUAAGGGGGCCACCUGCUGCUGCCGUGCUGCCGGAGCACGAUUUCUGUUCUCAUCCUGAAGCAAAGUUCUUAACCUGAAACACUAUUUCUGGGUUAGCGGAGUCUGUAACCUGAAGCGUAUGUAACCCGAGGUACCACUGUAUGAAGUUAGGUGUUCUUUUUUAAAUAAAAUAGACAUGACUGAAAAUUCUAAGACUUCAGUGCCAACUCAGGAGCUGGAAAACAACCUGUUAUGGAUGUCAUAGCACUUUCCUUAAGGAGCAGCUACAUAGCGUAGGGUAUUCCUUGACUCACUCUUGCAAUUAGAGGCCCAGGUGUCUUCAAUGGCAAGACUAUCCUGGUAUCAGUAACCUCAUGUUUAGAUUAUUGCAAUAUGCUAUAACGUGCCUUGAAAAAGGUCCAAAAGCUGCAGCUAGUACAGAAUUCAGCUGCUAGGUUAUUAACUUGGGUAGCAAGAUGAAACAAAUGUGACAUUCUCCAAUAAGAUACCUGUUUCAAGGUAAUGGUUUGUAAAGCCUUAAAUAGCUCGUGACCCAAGUAUCUGCAGCACCACCUCCUCAAACACCAAUUUGAUCUUUAAAAUGGAGGGGUAGUGGCGGGGGGCUCUGCUCAUAUGAGGAUUUGUGGUACGGGGAUUCAUAGAAGGGCCUUCUUCUUAUCUCUCCCCCCCCCACACACACACUUUUAAGGGACCUAGAUAUCAAGUAAAGAUGUUUCUGUUUACUCCUUGUUUGUCCUGAACUGAAAAUGUGCAGAAUUGUGUUUUUAAUUACCGUUACCUUGUAAUAUUUUAGUUCUGUGUAUUUGUUUUGAUCAUUGAUGUAAUUUUGUUGUCAAUCUUUUGUUAUAUGUUGCCUUGUUGACCUUUUCCAUACAAGAUCCUGCAGCUAAGAAUUAUGUUUCCUUAAUCUCCAAAUCUCUAUUGGUGAGGAUUGUAGGGCCCUUGUCUUUCACAUACCACUUAUCUCAAUGAGUCUUCAGCCAAGUUCAGAGGAUUAUCUAAACCAUGGAAGAUUUGGAACACAUAUGUAACCAAAAGUUUGUCUUAUGCUUUGUGGCUUGUGCAGAGCUAAACUGUGAGUCAGGUUUUGGACAAAAUGUUGAGCCAAACCAUGGCAGUGACCAAGGAGAAGUGAAGCAGCCGUUAGGUUCUCCCUGAGAGCAUGCACAUUCAUGGCUUAGCACAAUAUGUAAACCAGUCUUUAGCAAGAUACCAUCCAGAAAUAUAUAUGAGAGACUGAAUAGAUUCCAGGUGUAGUACAUACAUUUAUUCAUAAUUCAUAACUUAUGGUUAUCUCUGUGAUCCAGUUUCACUGCUGAUGCUCAUUUUUUCACAUUCUCUCUGCUGUAGAUUGGGCUCUUUUAACCAGUCUUAGAGAACAUGGCCGUGCAGGCUUUUUCUCUGUUUCUUAAACCUUGGUGUGAUCCUGUGGAGGACAACAGAGGAGAAGCCAUCAUAAUUAACAGAAAUUAUCUUAACAUAGAGGAAAUGAAAUUGUAAAAGGGGUGUGUGUGUGUGUGUGUGUGUGUGUGUAUCUGUUUUGAGGAGCUAUUGAAAGCAUGCAUGGUAAAAUUUGUGCUGCAAAGGAAUGUACUUUUUUUGAAACUAGUAUUUCACACCAUGCAUGUUGAUGCAAAAUUGGUGACUAACUAUCUCCAAGAUCUGUAAUGUAAUUCUCAGAACUAAUCUGAUUAAUGGGUCUUGUUUCCAUUUUGUUACCUCAUAGGCACACACUGUUCUGAAAUGUGGGUUUGUGACCAAAACGAAAGUCCCAUCAACAGCAGAAUCCUAUACCCAUCAGCAGCUGUGGCCUAACCAACUUCUUCCCGUAACUCAGGUCUAGUGUUAGUUUACAAGAAGACACGGAAGCAUGCAUCUGCAUGUGUGAGAAAAUAUAUGCGUCUCAUGUCAGCCUCUCUAUCUUCUACCUAAAGGUAGGGGAGGUGUCUGGCUGAAAUAUCAUUUUAAGGAUUAUGCCUAUUUGUUAUCAAUUGCCAUGCAGAUUGUAUGGCAGUUAUUGUCUAAUUAUGCAUAAUCAGUAAAUGGUGCUGGGUCUCCAUUUCUUACAACAAAGCAAAACUAGUGGCAAAAUUAGAAUUCGAUAAAUGACAACUGAUUGAAGGAAGAAGUCAGAAGAAGAAUCUUUAUUUGCAUCAGCCACUAGCCAUAGC